rnacentral:tRNA from 1 species
GCCAGAGUGGUGUAGAGGUUUCAGCAUUGGAUUAUGACUCUGGAGACCAGGGUUCAAUUCCCGCUCAUGCC